CUUGGUUGAUCCUGCCAGUAAUCAUAUACUUGUCUCAAAGAUUAAGCCAUGCAUGUGUAAGUAUGAACUAAUUCAGACUGUGAAACUACGAAUGGCUCAUUAAAUUAGUUAUAGUUUGUUUGAUGGUAUCUACUACUCGAAUAACCAUAGUAAUUCUAGAGCUAAUACAUCCAACAAACCCUGACUUCUGGAAAGGAUGCAUUUAUUAGAUAAAAAGUCAACGCGAGCUAUGGCUGUUGCUAUGAUGAUUCAUGAUAACUAGACGGAUCGCACGGCCUUUGUGUCGAUGACGCAUCAUUUAAAUUUUUACCCUAUCAACUUUUGAUGGUAGGAUAGUGGCCUACUAUGAUUGUGACGAGUGACGGAGAGUUGGGGUUCGAUUUCGAAGAGGGAGCCUUAGAAACGGCUACUACAUCCAAGGAAGGCGUAGGCGCGCAAAUUACCCAAUCCUGACACGGAGAGGUAGUGACAAUAAAUAACAAUAUCGGGCUCUAUGCGUUUGGUAAUUGGAAUGAGUACAAUCUAAAUUCCUUAACGAGGAUCCAUUGGAGGGCAAGUCUAGUGCCAGCAACCGUGAUAAUUCCAGCUCCAAUAGCGUAUAUUUAAGUUAUUACAGUUAAAAAGCUCAUAGUUGAAACUAGGGUUAAGUCAUCCGAUCUACUCGUCCCUACUAUCGACGAUGCAUUCCUGGACUUAAUUGCCUGGGUCGUUCCUUCGGUGUUGUUACUUUGAAGAAAUUAGAAUGCUCGAAGUAGGCCUACGCUUGUAUACAUUAGCAUGGGAUAACAUCAUAGGAUUUCGGUCCUAUUGUGUUGGCCUUCGGGAUCAAAGUAAAGAUUAACAAAGACAUUUGUAUUUCAUAGUCAGAGGUGAAAUUCUUGGAUUUAUGAAAGAUGAAAAACUGCGAAAGCAUUUGCCAAGGAUGUUUUCAUUAAUCAAGAAUGAAAGUUGGGGGCUCGAAGACGAUUAGAUACCGUUCUAGUCUCAACCAUAAACGAUGCCGACCAGGGAUCUACGGAUAUUACUUUUAGGACUCCGCCAGCACCUUAUGAGAAAUCAAAGUCUUUGGGUUUCGGGGGGAGUAUGGUCGCAAGGCUGAAACUUAAAGGAAUUGAUAGAAGGGCACCACUAGGAGUGGAGACUGUGGCUUAAUUUGACUCAACACAAGGAAACUUACUAGGUUCAGACAUAGUAAGGAUUGACAGACUGAGAGCUCUUUUUUGAUUUUAUGGGUGGUGGUGCACGGCCGUUCUUAGUUGGUGGAGCGAUUUGUCGGGUUAAUUCCAUUAACGAACGAGACCUCAGCCUGCUAACUAGCUACGUGGAGGUGAUCCUUCGUGGCUAGCUUCUUAGAGGGACUAUGGUCGCUUAGGCCAAGGAAGUUUGAGGCAAUAAUAGGUCUGUGAUGCCUUUAGAUGUUUUAGGCUGCACGCCUGCUUCACAAAUGUAUUCAACGAGUCUAUAGCCUUGGCCGAUAAGCCCGGGUAAUCUUUGAAAUUUCAUCAUGAUGGGGAUAGUCAUUGCAAUUGUUAGUCUUUAAUGAGGAAUUCCUAGUAAGCGUAAGUCAUCAGCUCGCGUUGACUAUGUCUUUGCCCUUUGUACACACCGCCCGUCGUUCCUACCGAUUGAAUGGUCCGAUGAAGUGUUCGGAUCACGGUGACAUGGACAGUUCACUGCCCACGAUGUUGCGAGAAGUCUACUAAACCUUAUCAUUUAAAGGAAGAAGAAGUCAUAACAAGGUUUCUGUAAGGGAGCUUUCAGAAG
rnacentral:rRNA from 1 species